rnacentral:rRNA from 1 species
GAGCACUACGAGCCACAGCUUAAAACUCAAAGGACUUGGCGGUGCCCUACACCCACCUAGAGGAGCCUGUUCUAUAAUUGAUAACCCCCAAUAUACCUCACCGCCACUUGCAAAUACAGCCUAUAUACCACCGUCACAAGCCCACCUCACCAGAGUAAAAUAGUAGGCUAAAUAAUUAAAAAUAAAAAAGUCAGGUCAAGGUGUAGCACAUGAGUCGGAAAGAAAUGGGCUACAUUUUCUUUAAAGAAAACACGGAGUAUUUUAUGAAAUAAAAUAUAAAGGAGGAUUUAGCAGUAAAAAGAAAAUAGAGAGUUCUUUUAAAAUAGGCAAUAAGGCGAGCACACACCGCCCGUCACCCUCUUCAAAUAUAAGUAAAAAUAAAUAAUGUAAUUAAUAUCCCAGAAGAGGAAAGUCGUAACAUGGUAAGUCUACCGGAAGGUGGCCUUGGA